UACGUAGGGUGCUAGCGUUGUCCGGAAUUAUUGGGCGUAAAGAGCUCGUAGGCGGUGUGUCACGUCGGCCGUGAAAACCUGGGGCUUAACUCUGGGCGUGCGGUCGAUACGGGCAUCACUAGAGUUCGGCAGGGGAGACUGGAAUUCCUGGUGUAGCGGUGAAAUGCGCAGAUAUCAGGAGGAACACCGGUGGCGAAGGCGGGUCUCUGGGCCGAUACUGACGCUGAGGAGCGAAAGCAUGGGUAGCGAACAGG
rnacentral:rRNA from 1 species